AGCGAACGCUGGCGGCAGGCCUAACACAUGCAAGUCGAACGGACCUUUCGGGGUUAGUGGCGGACGGGUGAGUAACACGUGGGAACGUGCCUUUAGGUUCGGAAUAGCUCCUGGAAACGGGUGGUAAUGCCGAAAGUGCCCUUCGGGGGAAAGAUUUAUCGCCUUUAGAGCGGCCCGCGUCUGAUUAGCUAGUUGGUGAGGUAAUGGCUCACCAAGGCGACGAUCAGUAGCUGGUCUGAGAGGAUGACCAGCCACAUUGGGACUGAGACACGGCCCAAACUCCUACGGGAGGCAGCAGUGGGGAAUCUUGCGCAAUGGGCGAAAGCCCGACGCAGCCAUGCCGCGUGGAUGAUGAAGGUCUUAGGAUUGUAAAAUCCUUUCACCGGUGAAGAUAAUGACUGUAGCCGGAGAAGAAGCCCCGGCUAACUUCGUGCCAGCCGCCGCCGUAA
rnacentral:rRNA from 1 species